GACAGAGGGUGCAAACGUUGUUCGGAAUUACUGGGCAUAAAGCGCACGUAGGUGGUUCUGCUAAGUCAAGUGUGAAACUCCCCCGGCUCAACCGGGGAAUUGCGCUCGAUACUGGCAGGCUCGAGGUUGGUGAGGGGUGAGGCGGAACUCCAGGUGGAGCGGUGAAAUGACGUAGAUAUCUGGAGGAACACCGGGUGGCGAA
rnacentral:rRNA from 1 species